rnacentral:lncRNA from 1 species
CGCGUUAUACAUCCAUUGCCAGUCCAUUUGCAUCGUAUUACGCAUGAAAAUGGAUUAUGCAUGGACAACAUAUGAACCCCACAUUACGCAUCGUAUUACGUGGAAAAUGAACGUAGGGUUUUUUAUAGGAUUAUUAUUUAUAAUUUAGUUCUUACAUUAAACAUGAGAUAAAUAAAUUGUUGGUCAAAUAAAUACAAUUAUUAAGUUUUAAAUUAUAGUGAUAUGAAAAAAUGUAGCAAUGAUCAAAUUCUAUUUUCUUACCCUGCAAUUUAUUUACCUUAAUUUUAUAGCAAUUUCUGAAUAUUAAAAACACAUUUACUCCAAUUUUUCCUCAUACAUAAUAUUGAAAUCCUCUCCAUUCUACCUCACAUUUACUCUCCAUUCUCCCUUACAUUCUAGCUCAAAAUCCUCUCCAUUUUCUACUUCACAUUCUAGCAAAUAAACUAUCGAUCCAUCUCUAUUCUACACAUCAAGUUGUUUUAACUAAUACGAAUUGUAUAUAACAAUCAAACUAUCCAUCACAUUCUAGAUCAAAAACAUGUAUAAAUACAAAUCC